rnacentral:rRNA from 1 species
GUAGGGUGCGAGCGUUAUCCGGAAUCAUUGGGCGUAAAGAGCUCGUAGGCGGUUCAGCAAGUCGGCUGUGAAAUUCCGAGGCUCAACCUCGGAACUGCAGUCGAUACUGUUGUGACUCGAGUCCGGUAGAGGAGAAUGGAAUUCCCGGUGUAGCGGUGAAAUGCGCAGAUAUCGGGAGGAACACCAGUAGCGAAGGCGGUUCUCUGGGGCGGCACUGACGCUGAGGAGCGAAAGCGUGGGGGUAGCAAACAGGAUUAGAUACCCUGGUAGUCCACGCCGUAAACGUUGGAUACUAGGUGUGGGGUUCCGACCAACGGUCCCCGUGCCGAAGCUAACGCAUUAAGUAUCCCCGCCUGGGGAUACGGCCGCAAGGCUA